rnacentral:ribozyme from 1 species
UGGAGGGCUGGAAGAGGGGGAUAUGACCAAGGAAGGGGAUAUGAACAACCUCCAGUGAAGAGGACAAAGAAUAUCAAUAGUACUCUCAAUCAUUACCAAAACAACCUGGCAAGAAACAAUAGGCAAAAUGAGCACCAAAGCCAGGAUUC